AUCCAGAUGAAAAGUCUCAAAUAGGAUGAAACACGCAUCCUGGAU
rnacentral:hammerhead_ribozyme from 1 species